CAGUCGCCGCGGGAAUACGUAGGGUGCAAGCGUUAAUCGGAAUUACUGGGCGUAAAGCGUGCGCAGGCGGUUAUAUAAGACAGAUGUGAAAUCCCCGGGCUCAACCUGGGAACUGCAUUUGUGACUGUGUAGCUAGAGUACGGCAGAGGGGGAUGGAAUUCCGCGUGUAGCAGUGAAAUGCGUAGAUAUGCGGAGGAACACCGAUGGCGAAGGCAAUCCCCUGGGCCUGUACUGACGCUCAUGCACGAAAGCGUGGGGAGCAAACAGGAUUAGAUACCCGGGUAGUCCCUGUCUCUUAUCA
rnacentral:rRNA from 1 species